GCUUAAACUCGGUCCUGGGUUGAAAAUUUUGUCAUGUAAUCGCGCGUUUGAUUUUGAUAGGGUUUUGUAUUACAGGCAGGGCUGAAAUUUCAACCCGGUCAACAGGGCUGAGUUCAACCCCGGGGUUUAAAAUGCUCCAUGCAAUCGGCACCUAAGUUGAAACACAAAUGAUGAUUGAACAGUUCAAUACUUUGACAUGGCACAUUUUAACGCCUCCAAAGCUCCAGCCUGAACUCCAACUCAGAACGCGUCAUUUGGAUGCGCAGUCGAAACUCCGAAUUAGCCAUUCCGAAGUUGAUGAGUGGACUGGGGACGAGUGUUAAAAAGUGCCCAAAUCACUAAAAAGACCACCUCAAAAUUAGUAAGUAUACAAAGUUUGAAGACGUUUACAUCAAUACCCUUCGAA
rnacentral:lncRNA from 1 species